UUCUCUUUCUUAGCUAUUUAACGAUCCAAAACUGACUGUGUUUAUCUGAAUAAUCGCUAAGACGGGCAUUUUGACAUAAUUUUGUAUGUAUUUUACCUUUUAAGCGCUAUAGAGAUCUGUGCCACUUUUGGCAAUGACUCGGCCUAUGUUCACUCACAGAUGGUCACACAAGCAAUAAUUAAAAUUGUCUUAAAAUUGACUUAGUUUCCUGGUAGUAUCUGAUAUGAAUUAACUAACGUUACACGUUUAAUGUAGCGAAUUUGUCAAUAACAACAUAUCUGCGGUAAAGCCUAAUAAUAAAAGUGCCAUAUAAGACAGAACAUUCUCUAAUAUGCAUAAUAUCAAAUCUAUUUAUAAGUACUGUAGCAAUUCAUUAUUUUAUACGCGCGGCGGUGGAAGGGGUCUCGUACCUGUGUGGGUGAAUCCGCCAUGUUUGUGCGGUUUGGAGCGGACACGAGCAAAACAAUGGAUUAUUUACCAAGAGAUAUUAAUGUUUGAGGUAAUUUCGACAACAUUCUGGUAAGCAUCGAAGCACAUUUACAUUUGUAGUAUGUUUACUUAGCAGAUGCUUAUAAAGGAACUUGCUAAAGUUAACUUCAUGUGACUGCCGCGAACGUGGCUUCCUUGGCUUGCCUGAAAACUUUCGGUAUGCCACUACAGCUAAUAAACGGACAAAAUGAUUUUCAUCUUUGAUCUAAGCAUUGUUAUGUGGAUCUCGAGUGUUUACGCUACUAAACUUUGACGAGCAACUCUCCGGUCUGCAAACAAAGACCUGAGGAAGAGGAGGAUGGCGUCCUGCAUUCACGUGGAGAAAGAGCAGUAAUCAAGAGAAGUGUUAUCAUCGCUGAAGAAAUGGCAGAUUUUAAUCCUCAGACACUGGACAGUGCAAGCCCUGAAGACAUAAGACCAUGGACAUCAUCUUCUGUGACUGAACUAGCAAGGAAAUGUUGGAGCCAAUGAGAAAGCUGUUUACUGAGCGAUGUAAACUGCUGCCAUCCACGUCACAUAACUGCUCUAACCGACGUUACCUGAAGAAUCCUUUCAGCGUGGCAGAUAUUCGCAAGCACCUGGAGCCAACUUAUGCUGAACUGGAUACUUACUGAAGAGCUACAACACUUAAGGUUUGUGCAAAGUUACACCAUAUCACUGAUAUCACGGCAUGCGUCAAGAUUUCAGAGACUCUGCGUGACAUUUUAAAUGUUUAUGAUCUUCAGGGUGUGUGCAUUAUGUCAACAUGAAACGCACCGUAGCCCUCCGUACUCCUCAGUGUACCUGUGUGAGGAGGACCCACAAUUCUUCAAGACUUGAAAUGAGGCGUUGGGAGAGCCAGACAUGACAGAUUCUGUCAUUGUGGUCAAUGAAACGAAAGCACAAGUCCUUCAAGCACUGCAGUUGUGAUAGAAGAUGACCUUCAGUUUUAUAAUAAAAGACUAAUCUUCAAAAAAAAUCUUCAGUUGUACAGCUGGAGGUUUAUUUUAUGUAUUUAUUUUUUAGGUGUUAUUGUUGUUUGUUUUUGUCUUUUGAGUUAGUAUUUUUAUGUCAUGAAGUCCUGCAGAGGUGCCUGAUCCUGUUCCUGGAGAUCUACCUGCCUGAAGAGUUCAGCUAAGUUAUUCAGCUCAUUAUUUUGCUAAGUACAACAGCAAAAC